rnacentral:rRNA from 1 species
CCGGUUUAAGCGUGUAGGUGUGUGUUCCAGGUAAAUCCGGUUCACUUUAACACUGAGGCGUGAUGACGAGGCACUACGGUGCUGAAGCAACAAAUGCCCUGCUUCCAGGAAAAGCCUCUAAGCAUCAGGUAACAUCAAAUCGUACCCCAAACCGACACAGGUGGUCAGGUAGAGAAUACCAAGGCGCUUGAGAGAACUCGGGUGAAGGAACUAGGCAAAAUGGUGCCGUAACUUCGGGAGAAGGCACGCUGACAUGUAGGUGAAGUGAUUUACUCAUGGAGCUGAAGUCAGUCGAAGAUACCAGCUGGCUGCAACUGUUUAUUAAAAACACAGCACUGUGCAAACACGAAAGUGGACGUAUACGGUGUGACGCCUGCCCGGUGCCGGAAGGUUAAUUGAUGGGGUCAGCGCAAGCGAAGCUCCUGAUCGAAGCCCCGGUAAACGGCGGCCGUAACUAUAACGGUCCUAAGGUAGCGAAAUUCCUUGUCGGGUAAGUUCCGACCUGCACGAAUGGCGUAAUGAUGGCCAGGCUGUCUCCACCCGAGACUCAGUGAAAUUGAACUCGCUGUGAAGAUGCAGUGUACCCGCGGCAAGACGGAAAGACCCCGUGAACCUUUACUAUAGCUUGACACUGAACAUUGAGCCUUGAUGUGUAGGAUAGGUGGGAGGCUUUGAAGCGUGGACGCCAGUCUGCGUGGAGCCGACCUUGAAAUACCACCCUUUAAUGUUUGAUGUUCUAACGUGGAUCCGUAAUCCGGGUUGCGGACAGUGUCUGGUGGGUAGUUUGACUGGGGCGGUCUCCUCCUAAAGAGUAACGGAGGAGCACGAAGGUUGGCUAAUCCUGGUCGGACAUCAGGAGGUUAGUGCAAUGGCAUAAGCCAGCUUGACUGCGAGCGUGACGGCGCGAGCAGGUGCGAAAGCAGGUCAUAGUGAUCCGGUGGUUCUGAAUGGAAGGGCCAUCGCUCAACGGAUAAAAGGUACUCCGGGGAUAACAGGCUGAUACCGCCCAAGAGUUCAUAUCGACGGCGGUGUUUGGCACCUCGAUGUCGGCUCAUCACAUCCUGGGGCUGAAGUAGGUCCCAAGGGUAUGGCUGUUCGCCAUUUAAAGUGGUACGCGAGCUGGGUUUAGAACGUCGUGAGACAGUUCGGUCCCUAUCUGCCGUGGGCGCUGGAGAACUGAGGGGGGCUGCUCCUAGUACGAGAGGACCGGAGUGGACGCAUCACUGGUGUUCGGGUUGUCAUGCCAAUGGCACUGCCCGGUAGCUAAAUGCGGAAGAGAUAAGUGCUGAAAGCAUCUAAGCACGAAACUUGCCCCGAG